GCCUGGGUGGCUCAGUCGGUUAAGCAUCUGCCUUCAGCUCAGGUCAUGAUCUCAGGGUCUUGGGAUCAAGCCCCACUCAGGCA
rnacentral:tRNA from 1 species